rnacentral:rRNA from 1 species
GACGAACGCUGGCGGCGUGCUUAACACAUGCAAGUCGAACGGACAGGCCCUGCUUUUGCGGGGUGCUCGAGAGGCGAACGGGUGAGUAACACGUGAGUAACCUGUCCUUGAAUUUGGGAUAACUUCAGGGAACUGCGGCUAAUAUCGGAUAGGAGAUCCUGCUGCAUGGUGGGGGAUGGAAAGAUUCGGCGGUUGGGGAUAGACUCGCGGCUUAUCAGCUUGUUGGUGGGGUAGUGGCUUACCAAGGCUUUGACGGGUAGCCGGCCUGAGAGGGUGACCGGCGACAUUGGGACUGAGAUACGGCCCAGACUCCUACGGGAGGCAGCAGUGGAGAAUAUUACACAAUGGGCGGAAGCCAGAUGCAGCAACGCCGCGUGCGGGAUGACGGCCUUCGGGUUGUAAACCGCUUUCGCCUGUGACGAAGCGUUAUUGACGGUAAUGGGUAAGGAAGCACCGGCUAACUACGUG